UCCCCGGUAGCUCAGUGGUAGAGCAAGCGGCUGUUAACCGCUUGGUCGCUGGUUCGAGUCCGGCCCGGGGAGCCA
rnacentral:tRNA from 5 species